rnacentral:rRNA from 1 species
GACGGUAAGGUAUUGGCUUACCGUGGCAGUGACGGUUAACGGGGAAUUAGGGUUCAAUUCCGGAGAGGGAGCCUGAGAAACGGCUACCACAUCUAAGGAAGGCAGCAGGCGCGCAAAUUACCCAAUUCUAACAGCAUAAGAGAGGUAGUGACAAGAAAUAACAGUACAAGGCAGUUAAAAUGCUUUGUAAUUGGAAUGAUAGAAAUUUAAAUACUUUUUAAAGUAUCAAUUGGAGGGCAAGUCUGGUGCCAGCAGCCGCGGUAAUUCCAGCUCCAAUAGCGUAUAUUAAAAUUGUUGCAGUUAAAAAGCUCGUAGUUGAAUUUUUGCUAAAAAUAACCGGUCUGCUAUUAUUACUAAAAGUGGUAUCUUGGUGUGUUUUUAGCAAUAAUGUCCUUUGAAAUGUUUUUUACUUUAAUGUAAAAAGCAAUUUUCAGGAUUUUUACUUUGAGAAAAUUAGAGUGUUUCAAGCAGGCUAACGUUUUGA